rnacentral:rRNA from 1 species
UACGUAGGGCGCAGGCGUUAAUCGGAAUUACUGGGCGUAAAGCGUGCGCAGGCGGUUUGCUAAGACAGGUGUGAAAUCCCCAGGCUUAACCUGGGAACUGCAUUCGAGACUGCAUUGCUAGAGUAUGGGAGAGGGAAGUGGAAUUUCCGGUGUAGCGGUGAAAUGCGUAGAUAUCGGAAGGAACAUCAGUGGCGAAAGCGACUUCCUGGACCAAUACUGACGCUCAUGUGCGAAAGCGUGGGGAGCAAACAGG